rnacentral:rRNA from 1 species
AUUGAACGCUGGCGGAAUGCUUUACACAUGCAAGUCGAACGGCAGCACGGACUUCGGUCUGGUGGCGAGUGGCGAACGGGUGAGUAAUGUAUCGGAACGUGCCCAGUCGUGGGGGAUAACGUAGUGAAAAUUACGCUAAUACCGCAUACGAUCUAUGGAUGAAAGCGGGGGGUCGCAAGACCUAGCGCGAUUGGAGCGGCCGAUAGCAGAUUAGGUAGUUGGUGGGGUAAAGGCCCACCAAGCCAACGAUCUGUAGCUGGUCUGAGAGGACGACCAGCCACGCUGGGACUGAGACACGGUCCAGACUCCUACGGGAGGCAGCAGUGGGGAAUUUUGGACAAUGGGCGAAAGCCUGAUCCAGCCAUUCCGCGUGCAGGAUGAAGGCCCUCGGGUUGUAAACUGCUUUUGUACAGAACGAAAAGGUUUCUCCUAAUAUGAGGAGCUCAUGACGGUACUGUAAGAGUAAGCACCGGCUAACUACGUGCCAGCCGCCGCGGUAA